GACGAGCGCUGGCGGCGCGCCUAACACAUGCAAGUCGAACGGAGUCAAGAGGAGCUUGCUUUUCUUGACUUAGUGGCGAACGGGUGAGUAACGCGUGAGUAACCUGCCCUGGAGUGGGGGACAACAGUUGGAAACGACUGCUAAUACCGCAUAAGCCCACGGAUCCGCAUGGAUCUGCGGGAAAAGGAUUUAUUCGCUUCAGGAUGGACUCGCGUCCAAUUAGCUAGUUGGUGAGGUAACGGCCCACCAAGGCGACGAUUGGUAGCCGGACUGAGAGGUUGAACGGCCACAUUGGGACUGAGACACGGCCCAGACUCCUACGGGAGGCAGCAGUGGGGGAUAUUGCACAAUGGGGGAAACCCUGAUGCAGCGACGCCGCGUGGAGGAAGAAGGUUUUCGGAUUGUAAACUCCUGUCGUUAGGGACGAUAAUGACGGUACCUAACAAGAAAGCACCGGCUAACUACGUG
rnacentral:rRNA from 1 species